rnacentral:rRNA from 1 species
UACGAAGGGGGCUAGCGUUGCUCGGAAUCACUGGGCGUAAAGGGUGCGUAGGCGGGUCUUUAAGUCAGGGGUGAAAUCCUGGAGCUCAACUCCAGAACUGCCUUUGAUACUGAAGAUCUUGAGUUCGGGAGAGGUGAGUGGAACUGCGAGUGUAGAGGUGAAAUUCGUAGAUAUUCGCAAGAACACCGGUGGCGAAGGCGGCAUUCUGGACCGACAUUGACGCUGAGGAGCGAAAGCCAGGGGAGCAAACGGG